UACGUAGGGUCCGAGCGUUGUCCGGAAUUACUGGGCGUAAAGAGCUCGUAGGUGGUUUGUCGCGUUGUCCGUGAAAACUCACAGCUCAACUGUGGGCGUGCGGGCGAUACGGGCAGACUGGAGUACUGCAGGGGAGAUUGGAAUUCCUGGUGUAGCGGUGGAAUGCGCAGAUAUCAGGAGGAACACCGAUGGCGAAGGCAGAUCUCUGGGCCGUAACUGACGCUGAGGAGCGAAAGCAUGGGGAGCGAACAGG
rnacentral:rRNA from 1 species